AGAGUUUGAUCAUGGCUCAGAACGAACGUUAGCGGCGCGCCUAACACAUGCAAGUCGCACGAGAAAGGGCUUCGGCCCCGGUACAGUGGCGCACGGGUGAGUAACACGUGGGUAAUGUUCCCUCAGGCGGGGGAUAACCUUCCGAAAGGAGGGCUAAUACCGCAUAAGACCACGGCUCCGAAAGGAGCUGAGGUAAAAGCAGGCCUCUACAUGUAAGCUUGCACCGGAGGAUCAGCCCGCGGCCCAUCAGCUAGUUGGUAGGGUAACAGCCUACCAAGGCUAAGACGGGUAGCUGGUCUGAGAGGAUGAUCAGCCACACUGGAACUGAGACACGGUCCAGACUCCUACGGGAGGCAGCAGUGGGGAAUCUUGCGCAAUGGACGAAAGUCUGACGCAGCGACGCCGCGUGGGUGAUGAAGGCCUUCGGGUUGUAAAGCCCUGUGGGGAGAGACGAAUAAGUCGGAGCCAAUACCUCCGGCGAUGACGGUAUCUCCUUAGCAAGCACCGGCUAACUCUGUGCCAGCAGCCGCGGUAAGACAGAGGGUGCAAACGUUGUUCGGAAUUACUGGGCGUAAAGCGUGUGUAGGCGGCAGUGCAAGUCGGAUGUGAAAUCCCCGGGCUCAACCCGGGAAGGGCACCCGAAACUGCACAGCUAGAGUACCGGAGAGGUUGGUGGAAUUCUCGGUGUAGAGGUGAAAUUCGUAGAUAUCGAGAGGAACACCUGCGGCGAAGGCGGCCAACUGGACGAGUACUGACGCUGAGACACGAAAGCGUGGGGAGCAAACAGGAUUAGAUACCCUAGUAGUCC
rnacentral:rRNA from 1 species